rnacentral:rRNA from 1 species
CCCGCUGAACUUAAGCAUAUCAAUAAGCGGAGGAAAAGAAACUAACAAGGAUUCCCCUAGUAACGGCGAGUGAAGCGGGAAUAGCUCAAAUUUGAAAUCUCACAGGGUUACCUGUGCGAAUUGUAGUUUAAAGAAACGUUUUCGGGGGCGGCUUGGGUAUAAGUCCUUUGGAAAGAGGCAUCGUAGAGGGUGAGAAUCCCGUUUAUGAUCCAAUGUCUGCUCCUAUGUGAUACGUUUUCUAAGAGUCAGGUAGUUUGGGAUUGCUGCCUAAAAUGGGUGGUAAAUACCAUCUAAAGCUAAAUAUUGGCGAGAGACCGAUAGCGAACAAGUACCGUGAGGGAAAGAUGAAAAGAACUUUGAAAAGAGAGUUAAACAGUACGUGAAAUUGCCAAAAGGGAAACGCUUGGAACCAGUAUUGUCUCCAGGUAAUCAAGCACACGUUCCGCAAGGGCCGCGUGUGGUGCACUUGCCUGUGGACAGGCCAACAUCAGUUUGGUUUGGGGUAAAAAGCCGGAGAAAGGUAGCUUGGACUUGUUCAAGUGUUAUAGUCUCCGGUCAUGCCUUGGACUGGACUGAGGUCUGCAGCGUUAUUUGGAUCACCGGGUGCCUCUUGAACCAUCUUCCUUAGACAGCAUGCUGACUCUGGGAAUGUCUAGGGAGCCCAUUCGGUUCAUCACACCAGCGCUUAGGAUGUUGGCGAAAUGGUUCCAAACGACCCGUCUUGAAACACGG